GCAAGUCUGGUGCCAGCAGCCGCGGUAAUUCCAGCUCCAAUAGCGUAUAUUAAAGUUGUUGCAGUUAAAAAGCUCGUAGUUGAAUUUCGGGAUCAAUAUUUCGGUCAUGCCGUUGGUAUGCACUGUUAUCAUUGAUUUCUCACCUUCUAAAGAACCAUAAUGCCAUUAAUUUGGUGUUACGGGGAAUUAGGACUGUUACCUUGAAAAAAUUAGAGUGUUUAAAGCAGGCUCACGCUUGAAUACAUUAGCAUGGAAUAAUGAAAUAGGACAUCCGAUUCUAUUUUGUUGGUUUCUAGGAUCGAUGUAAUGAUUAAUAGGGAUAGUUGGGGGCAUUAGUAUUCAAUUGUCAGAGGUGAAAUUCUUGGAUUUAUUGAAGACUAACUACUGCGAAAGCAUUUGCCAAGGAUGUUUUCAUUAAUCAAGAACGAAAGUUAGGGGAUCGAAGACGAUCAGAUGCCGUCGUAGUCUUAACCAUAAACUAUGCCGACUAGGGAUCGGAUGAUGUUAAUUUUUUAAUGACUCAUUCGGCGCCUUACGGGAAAC
rnacentral:rRNA from 1 species